rnacentral:misc_RNA from 1 species
GAUGAAGAACGUAGCGAAAUGCGAUAAGUAAUGUGAAUUGCAGAAUUCAGUGAAUCAUCGAAUCUUUGAACGCACAUUGCGCCCCUUGGUAUUCCGAGGGGCAUGCCUGUUCGAGCGUCAUUAUAACCCUCAAGCUCAGCUUGGUGUUGGGGCCUGCUGCAGUGGCAGCCCUUAAAAUCAGUGGCGGCGCCAUCUGGCUCUAAGCGUAGUAAUUCUUCUCGCUAUGGAGUCCUGGUGGAUGCUUGCCAUCAACCCCCAAUUUUUCUAUGGUUGACCUCGGAUCAGGUAGGGAUACCAGCUGAACUUAAGCAUAUCAAUAAGCGGAGGA